UACGUAGGGUGCGAGCGUUGUCCGGAAUUACUGGGCGUAAAGGGCUCGUAGGCGGCCAACUAAGUCAGACGUGAAAUCCCUCAGCUUAACUGGAGAACUGCGUCUGAUACUGGAUGGCUUGGAUUCGGGAGAGGAAUGCGGAAUUCCAGGUGUAGCGGUGAAAUGCGUAGAUAUCUGGAGGAACACCGGUGGCGAAGGCGGCAUUCUGGACCGAUAUUGACGCUGAGGAGCGAAAGUGUGGGGAGCGAAC
rnacentral:rRNA from 1 species